AAAAAAAAUUUACAUCUGAGACUGAUAUUGCAUAUGCGAAAGCUAGAUUUACUAAUGUAAAAUUUUUAAGACCGUUGUUUCCACACUGGAAAGAUAAUAUACUGUCAAUUCAAUUGCCUCAAUAAUGUAACAUUAUGAGGAAACAGUUACUGCCCACUGAAUGGUCUAUCUAUUGACAAUUCACUUGCCUGCCUUCUAAGCAUAAAAUAUUUAUUACCCUACUGAAAGGUUUAAAUAUUGUUGAUAUUAUCAGCUCUGGAGUCAUCAAUACAAAGUUUAUGAGGAACCUCAGCACAAAACUGUUGAAAAGAUUCUAGCAAAUAACAGGUCCAUUGAUGGUCCACUGUAGAAAAAUGGAAAUAUUUUAAAACGUGCUUGGGAGUUGUUUUUAAAUGGUUUAAAUUAUAAAUAAAUAGAAAUGAGUGGUAGAUAAGUGGGUCGUACUUGUAGGUUCAACGAAAUAUGUGGAUAAAAUGUGGUUUGACCUAUUAUAAACAAUUUACAAACAACAGUCAACUUAGAAAGAUACAGAAAUUCAAGCGAAUAUAAUAGUUGACCCUAAGCUCACCUAGGCAACUCGUCGUGCACGCAGCAGCUACUGAAACAAAACAUAUCAGACAGCGAUUACCUGCGUCGUCAAUAAGAAAAAUAGUGUGAUCUCACCACAACAAUUAGAUGAUUAUGAGAAUGUCAAAUCAUGCCAAAAAAAACCUUGAGCAUGUACAUGUGCACUUCUGUGUGGCAAGAAGGUGACUUGUUAAAUACAAAAGUGAACCUUCAGCUUCUUGUCAAUCCUUGCCCAGCUGCAGGGGAAAAUCCAAAGCAAAUUCUGUCAGCAGUUCAUUCUACUGAGAUGCAUACAGUAUGGAUUCGUACCAAAAUUUGGAAAUAUAAAUUCUAGAUAUAUAAUAGUGAUAGUGACACUGGCAACAUAAGUUUUUUCUUCAUUUCCAUACUUGCUAACCCAGAGCAUUCUAUACUUACGUGGAGUAAAGAAUUAGCUGAGUGUCCAAAAAGCGAUUCUUGCUUUAGAGGCAACUCCCGAGUUCGAUUUUCCGAAUACCCAGUCAAAUUUAGGUGAUCAUCAAUCCUACCUUUAUUUUUUAUUUUUAAUUUUUUUUUUCCAACUAAAUUUUGUGUGAAAUAUCAUAAAUGAAAUCAACUCAAUCAUUAUGCUAGAAUCGUAAAACAAAUCUUCUCCAAGACACUGAGAUGGAUCAAACUCAGGCUAAAUAUUAAUAAGUACAAAUACACGUGAAGAAAAAGCAGCAGCAGCACUAGAAACAAUCCUUCAUAAAAUUACACAUUGCAUAGCUCGUUAUUUUUCCAUGACUCUGAUUGCAAUUUAAAAAUGGUAUUCACAACACAUAUGCAUGUAGCAACUUUCUAUCACAAAAAACUAAAAAACUGUCUAUUUAAUAUAGCUUCUGAGAUCAAGGCUCCCUUUCAUUUCCUACGAUCAAUAGAUAAAAUUCUUUUGUGAAAUGUGCUCCUAGAAAAAUAAUACUCAAAAAGCAGUCUAGAACAGCUAAGAUACAGACAAGCAAGAAAUGACAAGGUGUCAAGCUCCAAGGUUCAAAAUAAUUAACAGAAGGGCAUUUGGUCUAGUGGUAUGAUUCUCGCUUUGGGUGCGAGAGGUCCCGAGUUCGAUUCUCGGAAUGCCUCAAUCAAAUUAAGGUGUUUAAGAAUUCUUUUUUUUUUUUUUUCUUUCUUUCUUUCUUUCUACUAAAUUUCAGUGAAACAAGGAUGACAUACAAAGUCAGUCAUUAUGCCAGAGUGGUAAAAUAGAUCUUCUCCAAAAAAUUGAGAUUGAUUAAACUUGGGCAAGGUCAUAUCAUAUAUAUUAAAAAGUAUGAAUACAUUUCAAGAAAGCAAGGAUGAUAUACAAAGUCAACUCAGUCAUUAAGCCAGAGUGGUAAACAGAUCUUUUCCAAAAAAUUGAGAUUGAUCAAACUUGGGCAAGGUCAACAGAUUACGGCCGAGGUCAUAUCAUUCAUAUAUAUUAAAAAGUAUGAAUACAUUUCAAGAAAGCAUUAGCAGCAGCUGCAACACUAGAAAUAAUCCUUCACAAAACUACACCCAUUAAGCAUUUAUUCUAAUUUCUAUUACCUUCCACAGAUCAUUAUAUUUUCACGACUCAGACUGCAAUUUAAAACAGGUACUUCGCAACAACAUAUGCACGUAGGAACUUUUUAUCACCCAAAACUAGAGAACUAUCUUUUAAUAGUAGAUUCUGAGAUCAAAGCUCCCUUUGAUUGCCUAUGAUGAAUAGAUCAAAGAGCUUAGUGAAAUGUGCUUCUAGAAGCAUAAUAGUCGAAAGGCUGACUAGAACAGAUUUUGUUUUUAAUCUGAAACACUGCCAAAGCCAAGGAGACCCAGAGUGGUGGUGGUAGUGUUGGCAAUACCCCUACCUUAUCUAUUGACAAACAGAAAAAGCAAGAAAUUACAGGCUUCAAGGACAAAAUAAUUGACUAUAACUGGGCAUUAGUGGUAUGAUUCUUGCUUUGGUGCAAGAGAUCCAGAGUUCGAUUCUCAGAAUGCCCCAUUCAAAUUAAGGUGGUCAUUUAUCCUAAAUAUAUAUUCUUUUAUUAAUUUAUUUCAACCAUUUUUCAGCAAAACAAGUAUGAGAUAUCUGAUAGGCCACUGGUUCAAUUCACCUAUGCUAGGAAGAAAAAAGGGCAAAUCAAGCUAAAGGGGAAGAACUGGAAGCUCAUGUCACUGAUUCACGCAAGGAAAGAGGAGUUCAUGUUGCCAGAGAUUUAAUCGAGUUGAAUUUGUAAUUAUGUUGAAAUUGUUUUAACAAUUUGUGAGUUGAUUGAGGGAGGAAGUUGGGGGGAAAUUUCUUGAAUAAGUGUGGCGCAAUCUCACCAUAGAUAAAGGGAGAAGGGAAUUAUAUUAUUUCAUUCAUCCAUGCACUCUGAAAGAAAACUGGGAGUGAUCUCAGGCUUUUUCAAUGCCUGGUAUCAUAUCUCUUUUCCGUAUUACAUUGUUAAUUUCCUCUACAGUAUUAUUACUCUUAUCCAAUAUCAUAUCGUUUACAAUUCCACUAGUCACUGAAUUUCUGUUGAAGUACCUACAAUGACAAUUGCAUUCCUCAAUUCUGUAUUCCAGGUGGAAGCCUCCUAAUGUCAUAGGUGAAGUCAACUCAGUCAUUAUGCAAAAGUGGUAACAGAGGUCUUCUGUAAGACACUGAGAUGGAUCAAAAAGGGACAAGGUCAAUAUAUUUUGGCCAAGGCCCUACCAUAAAAUUCUAACACAAGUAUGCAUACAUCAAAGGGAAAGCAUUAGCAGCAGCAGCCCUAUGAACAAAGAGUUCUCCAAGACACUGAGAUGGAUCAAACAAGGACCAGAUUAACAGAUUGCGGCUGAGGCGAUAACAUAAAUAUUAACUAGUAUGAAUACAUGACAAGGGAAGCAGUAGCACCCAUACAAAACAUCCUGCAUAUUAUUACACCACAUCAAGUAUUAUCCCAAAGUCUAUUACCCUGCAUGGUGAAAUUUUUUUUCACGACUCAAAUUGCAAUUUUAAAAAGAAACUUCACAAGUCACAAACUCUAUGCACAUUUGCAUUUUUUAUUGUCCAAAACUAGAGAACUGUCUGUUAAUUAUAGCUUCUGGCAUCAAAGCUUCUUCUGAUCUAGAACAGUUUAGAAAAAGCAAGAAGCGAAUAACAAGCUCCAAGGAACACAAUUUUCUAAUACAACAACGCAUUUGGUGUAGUGGUAUGAUUCUCACUUCGGGUGCAGGAGGUCCUGAUUUCAAUUCUCGUAUGCCCCAUUUUACAAAUUAUCUGUCAGCCGUAGAACACCUUUUUAUUCCCUUGUCAACCUGGACAGGUCUCAUUGUAAAUAAAAGAAACAAGACUUAUAAACAGAGUAUCCAGCACAGGUAUCACAAAUGCUAAAGCUAGAUUUAAUUAUGCAACCUUGUUAACUAUUAAGACAUAGUUGUUCAAUUACCUCAAUUAUGUAACAUUAUGAGGAAACUGUACUGCACACAUUAAGGACUAAAUAUUGUUGAUUCAGUGACCUGACUCAAUAAUGUAACUGAAUCAGAAGAUAGUUAUUUAGCUGCCUAACUCAUUUUCAAAGCUCUGUCUAAUGCUGUUUCUGGUCGGUUGUAAAGCCAUCAGAUAUGAGAACGAGAACCUCUGCACAAGGGUAUUUUCUGGACACAAAUACAAUGUCCUUCUGGAAAGAUUCUACAAUACAUGGAUUCAGAUUAUAGAAAAUGAGAGAUUAUUACUUCAAGGUGUAGUCAGAAGCAGAAUAUUUAAAAUGUACAUUUUAGUAAUAUAUAACCACCAAAAUAACAGAGAUACUGACUGCUCACUGUGGAAAUAUUAAUUUUUGUGGAAGCAGAAUAUUUAAAAUGUAUAUUUUAAUAAUAGAUAACCACCAAAAUAACAGAGAUACUGACUGCUCACUGUGGAAAUUAAUUUUUGCACCAAAUAACUAAUCCUGAAACUGAAGCAUGAUUAGUAAAUGGUACUGGCACUGACCUGUGAAAUUUGCUGUGCUCAGUUGAAUAAUAGGAAAUUUACAAGUAGCAGAUCAAAAGAUUCAAAACAACGUAUGCCAGCCAGGGAGUACCUGCAUCUUCAAUAAGAAAAAUGACUCCACUUGUCUGGUUCGGUUACAUCAUAUCACUUUCGGAUCUCAAAGUGAACUUAAUCCUCAGUAAGUUAAUAAUUUCAAUAAUGUCAAAUCACAAAAAUAAGCCUUGAUUAUCCCUAUGGCUAUGCAAGGUCCUCAGUUUAAUUCCCAGUCAAAUUGAGGUGGUCAUGAAACCUACAAAUUAAUUUUUGUUUCUUUCAAUUAUAUUUGGGGGAGACAAAAAAUAAAAUAAAAUAAAAUAAUCAUAAAUCGACUCUAAUCAUUAGCCAGAGUGGUAAAACAUAUCUACGAGACACUGUGGCUCAAUCUCAGGUGGGCAACACAUAGUGACAGAUGCCAUGUCAUUAAUGUUAAAGUUUGGAUAUAUUGCAAGAAAAACAUUACCAGAAACACCACUAACAACAAAAAACAAUGGUAAUAAAAGUUGUAUAGGUAGAAUUAAUUAAGACUCCUAUUGUAAUCAAGUAAAUUUUGCACAGACUGCAUUAGAACUAUGAAGUUGUAGAUCCUGCAGAAAAUUAAAACCCAUUGAGCAUUACACCAAAGUGUAUUACUGUGCAUAGCUUAUUAUUUUUCCAAAAAUCAAAACAAAUAUAACAACUCAAACUUCAAUUUUUAAAUAGGGGACUUCUCAACUCAUAUGCAGGUAUCACUCUUUAUCAACCAAAACUAGAGCAUUCGCUGUAGCCUAUGUUAUCAAAGUGUCUUUAAUUGCCUAUGGGGAAUAGGUCAAAUGGUUUUGAGAAUAAGGUUCUUGAGGCAAAACCAUCAAAGGCUGGCUAGAACAGUUUAUAUAAAGAAAAGGAAAGAAGCGAUAACUGGUGGAAUUUGGUCUAGUGGUAUGACUCUAGCUCACGAUACAUUUAUAGUUUAAUUCCAGAAAUUCACCCUUGCUCGCCCCCAUCCCCAGCCUUGGUUUUGUAUCAGUUAUGCCUACAUAUGUUUUUGAACUAAUACAAAGAAAUUAAUAGAAUCGGUACAGGGAAAUAAUAUAACAAUAUAUAGUCAAAAUCAAUGAAUCUAAUAAGAGGUAUAGUAGUUGAUUAUUUAAACAAGCCAUUUGCUGAGGAUGUGGAGGUUGGCAUGCUGUGUCCAGUGGUAGAUAAAAAUUUGAAUUCAAUUCUGUAAAAUUGCAUCUUAUUGAGGUCUAAUCCGUUUAAAUCCCAUCUAUUAAGGUCCAUUGGUUAUUGGAUGAAUAAAUUUUCAUCAAAAAUCUAUUUACACCCAAUCCAUCUAAUUUGCCACUGCUAAUAACUAUACAAUCAAAUAAAAUAUCAUACUUCAAGCCAUUCCUUUAAAAAUUCAACAGAGAACCUAAAUGGUUUAACUAGUUGAAAAGAUGACAUGAAAUGGCAACUAAAAGAGAAUGAUGAAGAGAGAAAAAUUCAAAGCAAGUCGGACAUAGUUAUAACUUUGCCCCGUCUUUCAGAACAGGUGGCCUUCAGAAACUAAUAUAAUCAUUGCAAGAGCUAUCAAAGUGGGUGUUUACUUUGUUAAUUUUCAACAGAGGAAUAUUUUUGAAAAACUAUGGAUGAUUAACAUUUUAAGGGGAUGCUAGUUCUAAUGUGUCCUCAGUAUCUCUUGUUAGUUUAAAAACUCUGCAAAAUACUAUAAAGGUAGUUAUCAGCAUUUUCUUUUUCUUUUUUUUUUUUUUUUGUAAAAUUGGCAAGUAUAUGCUACAGCAGGUGUAAUCAGUAAAAUGCAAACUCAUAUAGAAAAAUAUCAUCACGACCCGACCAUUCGAUCCUGAGGAUGAAGUUUUCCCAUUUUGUGAUAGCAUCUCUAGGAUCCUCGGGCUAGAACACCGCCCUUUGGCUGGAGGUCUCCUUGAGUUUAUGCCUUGACCUUACUUCUAACAACACCUAACUCAUCAGGACUCUCCUACAAGAUAAGGCUUAUUCAAUUCUGAUAAGAUUAAGUCCUAAUAUACCUAUUUCAUCUCAUCUUGGUGGGAUUCUACCACCGGAGUUUCAUCUUUAUCCAAACAUCAAUUGUACGAUACCUAUCAAGUUACAACUCUUGAGCGUGGUAAAAUUCUUAAAGAUUCGAAUGACCUAAACCUACUAGUAGUAGGCUACCCAACACUAUAAAUACAUGAUCUCAAUUCAUCAUUAAGGCAUGUUUUUACAUAAUUUUUAGUUUGUAGCCUCACGCUCUAACUUAAGCAUCGGAGAGGCAACAAGACACACCUCAACGCCUUUGUUUCAGGUACUGGAGAUUCUAUUUGUGUGCAUCUCUCGCCGUCAAGCUCAGGGAUAUUCCAGGGUGCGAAUUUUUGGUAGCAUCACAACACAAACCAUCUGAGUGAAGUGCAAUGACCACUAAAAUCCCAUGGAUUGAAUUUGGGCAUUUGAUCUCAGAAGGCCCAAAUUUGUUUCGAAUUAGUUCAUUAACUUUUACAGUCCAGUGCUUAUUACUACUAAUACCCAGCAGAAAAAAACACUAGUUAAAAUAUGAUGAGCAUCUGGCAAACAAUUUUAAAACAGCACCCAGAAAGGGGGAAAUUAACAGUACUUAUACUAGUAGAAUUAGUCAUGCAUGUACUAAAUUAACGUGGAGCCUGCUCUACAAUUUUAAUUCAAUGAACUCACAAACGCCUGCUCAUUGCAACUCAGAUUACAGAUUUAAUUGGGAAGUACAGAUACGUGAAGCUAAAUUAGGGACAAUCAUAUCCUAUUUUCCUUAAGCAUCAAUAACCAUGUAAUAUGCUAUGUAGAUAAAGAAUAUUAUAUACUUAAGCAUCAAUCACCACAUAAUAUACGCCAAUAAAGAAAAUAAAGGGUCAAAAACCGCACAGAAUCAACCCCAAUAACAGCAGCAAAAACAUUGAAACGGCUAGAUUACUAAGAGAACUACUACAAACGCGAACGCGUCAAAAUCAGCAGUAUCACGUAGACUAAAUCGAAAUCGUGUGAAAGUUACACAGUGUAACAACUGAAAUGAACUGAUUUUGUAAGAUUGUACUGAAGUCUGGAGCUAUUUUGCAGCAAAUCGCACCUUCUUGAAGAAGCCUUUGCAAAUUUGAGUUUUCUCUAGCCGUGUUAUGGCGGUAAAAGAGGACGACAGGUAUGAAAAACAGAGGGAAUUUCGGAAUGUUUGGUACAGAGAAUGUUACGGGUCUCUGGCGAGGGGAAUGGGGAAUUACUAUUUACCGCUGUUUGAGAAUAUUAUUUGAAACUUAUUUUUCC
rnacentral:lncRNA from 1 species